AUUUGUUUGUUGAUGGUCAUCUAUUCAUCAUUCUGCAUAGUUUUUGCACCCAUUAUCCUAUGGUUAGAUGAACAUCAACAAACAUCUU
rfam:Nicotiana sylvestris Nsyl_contig116357, whole genome shotgun sequence.